UGCAUAUCAAUAAGCUGAGGAAAAGAAACCAACUGGGAUUGCCUUAGUAACGGCGAGUGAAGCGGCAAAAGCUCAAAUUUGAAAUCUGGUACCUUUGGUGCCCGAGUUGUAAUUUGGAGAGUACCACUUUGGGACUGUACUUUGCCUAUGUUCCUUGGAACAGGACGUCAUGGAGGGUGAGAAUCCCGUGUGGCGAGGGUGUCAGUUCUUUGUAAAGGGUGCUCGAAGAGUCGAGUUGUUUGGGAAUGCAGCUCUAAGUGGGUGGUAAAUUCCAUCUAAAGCUAAAUACAGGCGAGAGACCGAUAGCGAACAAGUACAGUGAUGGAAAGAUGAAAAGAACUUUGAAAAGAGAGUGAAAAAGUACGUGAAAUUGUUGAAAGGGAAGGGCAUUUGAUCAGACAUGGUGUUUUGCGCCCCUUGCCUCUCGUGGGCUUGGGACUCUCGCAGCUCACUGGGCCAGCAUCGGUUUUGGCGGCCGGAAAAAACCUAGGGAAUGUGGCUCUGCGCCUCGGUGUAGAGUGUUAUAGCCCUGGGGAAUACGGCCAGCCGGGACCGAGGACUGCGAUACUUGUUAUCUAGGAUGCUGGCA
rnacentral:rRNA from 1 species